rnacentral:rRNA from 1 species
CAUAGUGAUCCGGUGGUUCUGUAUGGAAGGGCCAUCGCUCAACGGAUAAAAGGUACUCUGGGGAUAACAGGCUGAUACCGCCCAAGAGUUCAUAUCGACGGCGGUGUUUGGCACCUCGAUGUCGGCUCAUCUCAUCCUGGGGCUGUAGCCGGUCCCAAGGGUAUGGCUGUUCGCCAUUUAAAGAGGUACGUGAGCUGGGUUCAAAACGUCGUGAGACAGUUUGGUCCCUAUCUGCUGUGGGCGCUGGAAGUUUGAGGGAGCCUGUUCCUAGUACGAGAGGACCGGAAUGGACACACCUCUGGUGUACCUGUUGUCACGCCAGUGGCAUCGCAGGGUAGCUAUGUGUGGAAGAGAUAACCGCUGAAGGCAUCUAAGCGGGAAACUCGUCUCAAGAUAAGACUUCCCGGGGCCUCGAGCCCCCUAAAGGGUCGUUCAAGACCAGGACGUUGAUAGGCUGGAUGUGGAAGCGCAGUAAUGUGUGAAGCUAACCAGUACUAAUUGCCCGUGAGGCUUGACCCU